AUUGAACGCUGGCGGCAGGCCUAACACAUGCAAGUCGAGCGAGCGGCGGACGGGUGAGUAAUGUUUGGGAAACUGCCUGAUGGAGGGGGAUAACUACUGGAAACGGUAGCUAAUACCCCAUACCCACUGAUGUGCCCAGAUGGGAUUAGCUAGUAGGUGGGGUAACGGCUCACCUAGGCGACGAUCCCUAGCUGGUCUGAGAGGAUGACCCGCCACACUGGAACUGAUACACGGUCCAGACUCCUACGGGAGGCAGCAGUGGGGAAGAUUGCACAAUGGGGGCAAGCCUGAUACAGCCAUGCCGCGUGUGUGAAGAAGGCCUUCGGGUUGUAAAGCACUUUCAGCGGGGAGGCGGUACCCGCAGAAGAAGCACCGGCUAACUCCGUGCCAGCAGCCGCGGUAAUAC
rnacentral:rRNA from 1 species